rnacentral:rRNA from 1 species
CGUCGACCGGCGCACGGGUGAGUAACGCGUAUCCAACCUGCCCUUUACUUGGGGAUAACCCGUUGAAAGACGGACUAAUACCCAAUGAUAUUCAUUGAUGACAUCUGAUUUGAAUUAAAGAUUUAUCGGUAUAGGAUGGGAAUGCGUCUGAUUAGCUUGUUGGUGAGGUAACGGCUCACCAAGGCCACGACCAGUAGGGGUUCUGAGAGGAAGGUCCCCCACAUUGGAACUGAGACACGGUCCAAACUCCUACGGGAGGCAGCAGCG